UACAGAGGUGGCAAGCGUUGUUCGGAAUUACUGGGCGUAAAGGGCGCGUAGGCGGUCCGAUAAGUCCCGUGUGAAAGCCCCCGGCUCAACUGGGGAACUGCACGGGAAACUGACGGACUUGAGUUCGGGAGAGGGAAGCGGAAUUCCGGGUGUAGCGGUGAAAUGCGUAGAUAUCCGGAGGAACACCAGUGGCGAAGGCGGCUACCUGGACCGGUUCUGACGCUGAUGCGCGAAAGCGUGGGUAGCAAACAGG
rnacentral:rRNA from 1 species